UAUCACCCUUAGAGUGGUUGCAGGUAUGAAUGCUCUGCCAAAUGUGCAUCAGUAGGUGAGAGAGAAGAAAGAGGCUAUGUCUACCCUCACUGUUCUGAUCUGCAAACACAUGAAAGAUUAGUAGCCUAACAUU